AGAGUUUGAUCAUGGCUCAGGAUGAACGUUGGCGGCGUGCCUAACACAUGCAAGUCGAACGAAAGUAGCAAUACUUUAGUGGCGCACGGGUGAGUAACACGUAGCUUACCUCCCUCCAAGCGCGGGAUAACGGCUCGAAAGAGCUGCUAAUACCGCAUAAGCUCACGGUCUCUAGAGGACUGUGAGAAAAGGGGCAACUCACUUGGAGACGGGGCUGCGGCCCAUCAGCUAGUUGGCGAGGUAAAGGCUCACCAAGGCGACGACGGGUAGGGGACCUGAGAGGGUGACCCCCCACACUGGGACUGAGACACGGCCCAGACUCCUACGGGAGGCAGCAGUGAGGAAUAUUGCACAAUGGGCGCAAGCCUGAUGCAGCGACGCCGCGUGAGUGAAGAAGGCCUUCGGGUCGUAAAGCUCUUUUCUGCGUGACGAGCAAGGACGGUAGCGCAGGAAUAAGUCUCGGCUAACUACGUGCCAGCAGCCGCGGUA
rnacentral:rRNA from 1 species